AUUUUUGGGUUGUGGAAGGAGUCAUCUGAGUUUUGAUUAUUUUUUAUGGGGAAAUUUGCUUUGAUAUACAAGUACUUUAGAUUACAAGCAUGUUUCUGGAAUGAAUUAUGCUUGCAAAUCAAGGUUUUACUGUAAUCUACAAUAUAAAGUAGGUAAAACCGAAAGUAUAUUAUCUAUUAUUUAUGUGGAUAUACAUAAUACAGGUAUUUUCUACAUAGCUGUUAAUCAUAAUUCAUCAAUGCUCUGUUUGAAAAACAGGAAGUAGUAGUCGACCCUUCCAGAGGAGGAGAAAGGUCUCAUGGGAGCACGUGGUUUCUCAUCUUCCAAGGGACGCCUGCUGCAUUGCCUGAAUUCAGCAGUAAAUGUGCAGUUUGUGCAGAGUUUAUAAUUUAUGCUAAUUAUUCUGUGUUCUUUUUGUCGUUGUUCAUUAUGUGUUCUCAGCUCUUCUUCCAGUAUUUUACAGUAUUUGUAAUCUUGGGGGUUUUUCAGUGAAAACUAGGAAGCAGGCAAUCAUAUGCCAUCAUAAGUUAGCACCCUGCAGUAGGAUUAGCAAACUUGUAAAUGUAUUUCAGUCUUUUCAAGGUUAAACAUGUUUAUUGAUAGAUCCAAAUAUUUUUUUGUGUCUCUGUGAAAAUUAAAAAGCCAAGAGUAUAGGCACUUAUGUUUAGCAUUUAAUGUUUAUGUUAUUUGGAAAUGGUUUGGGUAUUCAAUAAAUAUCCAUCAUUUAGUUUAACUUAGUAUAAAAUUUGGUCUUAUUAACAUUUAUUAACAUUAUUUGCUUUCAGCAAAUAUACUCGGGAUUAGGCACUAAACAGCUAACCAUCAUCUUACUUCUCUUGUUGACAAAUUUUGUAUUAUAAAGAUAGUAUGGAUUUAUUUGAUUAGUAACCCAGGUAGAAAAAGCUGUUUCUCUGCAUUAUAUUAAUGUUGAACUCUAAAGACAGGCCUAUUUUUCUUAAACCAACAAGUUUAAAUUAGUGUUUAUCAGAGAUUCAGAUCCUAUGAACUGAAAAAAACAUUUAGGUUCACUGCUAUAUUUUUGGGACUAUAUUUGACUUAUAUAAACACUUAAUUUUCUUUAAGACCAUUAAAUAGAGGUCCUGACAACUUAAUUUUGGCAAUACCAAUUCCAAGGUCGACUAGAAAGUAGUGAGCUAGCCCAGUGGGCUCUGUGGGUACCUACUCCUGUUUGCUCACAGGCCUUUAAGUUGCUGGGGAUCUUCUCUGGAUCCACUUCUCCGACAUCAUUUAAUAUAAACCUUAAAGAUACAACAGGCAAUUAUUUUACUAGCAAAAUAAUUUAUUUGGGAAUAACAGAGGCACUGUAAUUUGGGACAGGCAAAUUAUGGCAAGCCAUAGGCAAGUCUGAAGAGACAAAGGGAAGGUCAGAUUUCAUUAGGUUUUUAUAUUAUUUUUUUUUAUUUUUUUUUUAACGUUUAUUUAUUUUUGAGACAGGGAGAAACACAGCAUGAACAGGGGAGGGUCAGAGAGAGGGAGACACAGAAUCCGAAGCAGGCUCCACGCUCUGAGCUGUCAGCACAGAGCCCGACGUGGGGCUCGAACUCAAGGACCGCGAGAUCACGACCUGAGCCGAGGUCGGCCACUUAACCGACUGAGCCACCCAGGCGCCCCAUUGUUAUAUUAUUUUUAAUGUUUAUUUUAUUUUUGAGAGAGAGAGACAGAGUGUGAGGGGGCAGGGGCAGAGAGAGGAGACAGAAUCGUAGGCAGGCUCCAGGCUCUGAGCUGUCAGCACAAAGCCUGAUGUGCGGCUACGCCUCACGAACCAUGAGAUCAUGACCUGAGCUGAAAUCAAGAGUUAGACGAUUAACCGACUGAGCCACCCAGGUGCCCCGGGUUUGAUUAGGUUUUAGGAGGAAACUGGGGAGGAUUGCUUGAACACAAGUUCACUGAAGAAGCUUAGAUCGCGACAGUUUUUCAUUGGCUGCAAAUGGUGGAUAGUGCAUUAUUGCUGGGGCUCUGAGAGAUUUUCCUUUUUCUUAAAAUCCUAUGAUAAAAGUGCCCUCCCUUUUCAAGAAUUGGCUGCCUGGGUGGCUAGGUCAGUUGAGCAUCUGACUCUUGAUUUCGCCUCAGGUCAUGAUCUCACGGUUGGUGAGCUCCAGUUCAGGGUUGUCCCCUCCACACUAAACCUGUGGUCGUCCCCGGUUACCUCAGGCUGGCUCAAGUGUUUUGAACUGGACAUGCCUUGGCAGCACAGUUUAGGGUAGCCAGGAAAUGAAAUAAGCAAGAGUUGGGAAAGGCUAGGUCUCAGAAGCAGAAUGAUGGGGGUCCAUAGCAUUUGCCUAAUUCCAACACUUAACCUACACAAAUGUGUUUAUUCCCUCUGAAGGCAAAGCUGGGGGAAUCUGCAUUUUGUUGCCUGGGACUGGGCUGGGCAGGCCGACUGACCAGGGUAUAUUCCAACAAGAGAUACCUGGGAGCUUUAAUUAAUGAAAGCAGGAAAUAAAUCUCCCAUGUGAAAUGCACCCUCCCUGUACCAAGAAGUAAGGAGUCAUCCUUGUCACCAGAGAUAACAGAAUUCAGAGCCAAGAAAGCUAUAGAAACCCAUCUUGUUACUUUUACUAAUUUACCUCCCCAGCCCAAAUUCUGUUAGAUUUCCUUACUAACUGAAGCUCCCAAACAUUCAUUUUCUUUGUCACGUUAAUUCCUCACAGAUUGUUCCUUUGUCUAAAAAGUGGAAAAGCUGGGGCACCUGGGUGGUUUAGUCAAUUGGGCGAUUGGGUGUCUGAUUUUGGCUCAGGUCAUGAUCUCCCAGUCGGUGAGUUCGAGCCCCACGUCGGGCUCUGUGCUGACAGCUCAGAGCCUGGAGCCUGCUUCAGAUUCUGGGUCUCCCUCUGUCUCUGCCCCUCCACCCACCCCUCUUUCUCUUUCUUUCUCAAAAAUAAACAUAAAAACAUUUUUUUAGUAAAUAAUAAUAAUAAGUGAAAAAGCUGCUUGCCUUUUGUUCUCAAAUUUAGCAUUCAGCCUCCAUUCACACAUAGUUAAAUUUUGUGGUUUUGUCUUCUAUUAAUCUGUUUCAUAUCACUUAAAUUCUCAAACCAGCUAAGGGAACCUUGAUAAGUAGAGGUAAAUUUUUCCUCCCCAGCAGUUGGAAUAGACAAUAGGACAAACUUUACUGGCUGGAUGCUGCUACACCUGAGAAGUCUUACAAUCUCAGACAAAAGCUGGCAGAAGGUAAUAAUCCCCACCCUGUUAGCACCCCGUCUACUCCCAGCUCUCUACCUGUAGGUCUAAUAGAAGCAAGAAUGGUGAGAGGUGUUUUCACACUAAAUUUAUACCAGUAAAAGAAAAUAACUGUGGAACCAGUUCCUUGGGCUUAGCGACACUAGUAAAUUCCAUAGAGUACUCUUGGCUUGACUGAUCCUGUUCUACCUAGAGAUGGUCACAUUUUCUUUGCCAUUGUCUUCAGUGUCAUUUCUCACGAAAAGGAAUUAACCACAUGGGAAGAACGCAGGCAUAGGCCCUAUUGACCUGUUUAUGGAGCUCGCCUCACAAACUGGUAAGUUCACAGUUCACAUCAGGCUGGACUCCAUAUAGCAUUUUACCACAUGUCCUUUAUGUGAGGUUUUUCCUUUUAUCUAUUUACAUGUCCUGUGAGCUUGGCCUUGCAAACAAUAAAAUAUUCUCUCUGGGGUCUACCAUCUGGAGAAUACACUGGCUCGAGUGCACCCUGGUGGCCAGGAAAGUACACGGACUACGGGUCAAGUACAUGUAGUUGCAAGCAACACACUCUAUCCAGCUGUGCCAGCUCUUAGGGAUUUGUCAUAAAAGAUCCUAGACCAAAAGAAAAAUAAUCUCUUAACCAUGAUUAUUAGUGCUGGAAAAGUCUUAUCUCAUGAGCUGGUGUUGGUGUUGCAGGAGUCACAGAUUAAAACUGGAUACACCUCACACUUUCUUGGGAGAACACAGACACUGUUCUCUAGAAGCCAACCUGACCACAUGUUCACUGAAGACUGAAAAGACUAAACUUUUCAUACCACUUUGGUAAGAAAUUUUGGAAAAUGAGGGCUACAAAGCAUACCUCCAAGAUGCCAUCUUCCGAUCACUGUCUAGGCCAAAAACUGGCCGGGGUGGAAGCAUGAAGUCUACCAUGGGGACGCCCCAUCUGCCUAGUCGGUCACUAUGACUGAAUCACACCCUGAGGACUGGCCAAGGGUCCCAGAUGUUGUCUCCUAUUGGAGGCUAGUCCCACCAGGCAUGCAGGCUAUCCUGGCAAGGCAAUCCACACUAGUGCCCCUCUGCCUAGCUGCUGAGGGAAGGGAGGCUGUGCCCCUCAGCCCUUGGAAGCCGGCAGGUGUCUUUGGCCACCCACCCAGGGCAGAUGCCACCCCAGGGCUUCUCCACACACCCGCCAGGGUCCAGGUCCCGGGCUCCCCUGAACCUGCCUGGCCUGAGCAAGUGCUGCACGCACCGCACCGCGGCAGCCCCCUUGGGGCACCUGGACCCCCAGGGCAGCUCCCAGAGCACCUGCAUAGCCUCUUGCCAGACAAAAGCUGCCCCUCAAGUUCUUGCCACUGCCAUGGCCACAGCUCUCAGCGACCUCCCAUGGAGGUCGGCCUCCAUGGGAACUGGCUCCCUCCCCCAUAGGGGCCCUGGCUCCCAGAGCAACCAAGGCCCCCGGGGGCUCCUGCUGCGGGAAGCCCAGGCCACUCACCCAGGCCCCCCCCCCUCCCCCCCCCCGCUCUCCCAAGGUAGUCGUCUUUCCUCCAGCCUGGCCUUCAGGGGCAGUACAGGCGCCCUGGGGUCAAACACGGUUUGGAACCGGGCAGAAUCCCGCUUCCCCGCGGAGGCCUGGCUCCUGGCACCCUGGCCUCGCCCUACGGCGGCCCUGUUCCGGGUCCAGGGCUCCCUGGCCCCCGUGACCUGCCUCCAAGCGCCAGUGCAGUGCCCCGGCCACACCUGGCGCGCCCGCCUCGGGCGGCAGGGGGCGCGCCAGGCCUCCGAACAAGGGGCCAGUCAGGAGGCGUGUGGCGCGGCAGGGGGCGCACGGCUCCAACCAGCUCGCUUGGACUCGGGGUGCAGGGAGCCCACGGCGGCCAACGCUUUGCGCGGCCGAGGCGGCACGAUGACAUGGACAACAGGCAGUUUCCGUUUGGCUUGGCCGACCGCUGGGGUCCCAGGCACGUGACUGGUUCCAGCAACAGCCCGCUCCCGUGACCGGCUCUGCCCGCAUUCCUGCCCUGUGCCAGGUCUCUGGCUCCCCUGAACCGUGCCCGCGGGCCCGCGGGGAACGUCCGGGCCAUCGGAGCUCGGCCAGAGUAGUGUCUCAGGACACAUCACACCAUUUCCCUAUGAUGCCUUCAUCUGCCCAUGAAUGAGGGAUGAGGAAUCGGGGAGAAUCACCAUGUGCUUACAACUCUCCAAAUGGGGAAACCAAGGGCUACUGCCAGGAAUUCUCCUUAGAAGAAAGACUUGCACAUCCCAAGGAGUAUAAGCCGUGUGGACAGGAGAUGGUGUCACAGGCACCACUUGUCACAGUAGAGCUCCAGCGAGAUGGAGAACUAGAAACUCCAUGUCCCACACUCUUGGCAGCUAGGGAUCCACGUGGGACCUGGGCUCCAUCAAGCAGGCACACCCUAUAGAACUUGCACGAAGGAAGAGAACUCCAUCAGAUGGAGCCGUUCCCAUACAGAUCUCCAACAAUCCUUUCCAGGGGUCUCUUCAGGUUUUCCCUUAGAAGGAGUCUUUGGUAGCACUUAAUUAUCUAUACAAGCCAAUGUACAGCAGGGAGCCUUCGGAAAGCCCUAUUUACACCUCCUGCUCAAGCUGGCUGGGAGUGCUCACCAUGGGAGGCGAGCGGACUUGGUAAGCUUGAAUGCUAGCAAAAUUGCCCAUCAUGCCAACAGAGAGAUGGGCAUAUAUAACCUAGAAUUAAAAACAUAUAAUAAAUCUUACAGAAAUUAAA